GAAAUGCGAUAAGUAGUGUGAAUUGCAGAAUUCAGUGAAUCAUCGAAUCUUUGAACGCACAUUGCGCCCCUUGGUAUUCCAUGGGGCAUGCCUGUUCGAGCGUCAUUUGUACCUUCAAGCUUUGCUUGGUGUUGGGCGUUUUGUCUGUUCCUCUGGAAGUAGACUCGCCUUAAAGUAAUUGGCAGCCAGUGUUUUUGGUAGUAAGCGCAGCACAUUUUGCGUCUUCGUCUUCAAACAGCGGCAUCCACAGAGCCUCUUUCUCACUUUUGACCUCGGAUCAGGUAGGGAUACCCGCUGAACUUAA
rnacentral:misc_RNA from 1 species